rnacentral:rRNA from 1 species
GAUGAACGCUGGCGGCGUGCCUAAUACAUGCAAGUCGAGCGAACAGAUGAGGAGCUUGCUCCUCUGACGUUAGCGGCGGACGGGUGAGUAACACGUGGAUAACCUACUUCUAAGACUGGGAUAACUUCGGGAAACCGGAGCUAAUACCGGAUAAUAUAUUGAACCGCAUGGUUCAAUAGUGAAUGACGGUUUUGCUGUCACUUAUAGAUGGAUCCGCGCUGCAUUAGCUAGUUGGUAAGGUAACGGCUUACCAAGGCAACGAUGCGUAGCCGACCUGAGAGGGUGAUCGGCCACACUGGAACUGAGACACGGUCCAGACUCCUACGGGAGGCAGCAGUAGGGAAUCUUGCGCAAUGGGCGAAAGCCUGACGGAGCAACGCCGCGUGAGUGAUGAAGGUCUUCGGAUCGUAAAACUCUGUUAUUAGGGAAGAACAAAUGUGUAAGUAACUAUGCACGUCUUGACGGUACCUAAUCAGAAAGCAACGGCUAACUACGUG